AUAUAUAUAUAUAUAUAUAUAUAUAUGUAUAUAUUUAUGUAUAUAAAUGAGAUGGAACAAAAACGUAAUAGAGGCCAUUAAAACAUUUGGACAGAUAGACAACACAAAGGUGGACAAGAGAAACAACAAUUAGAAGGACAGGCAAAAAAAGACGGGUCAUUCUUGGCUUUCUUUUUUCAGCCAAGUACCAGAAGUCAUGACCAUUUUGGACAGUUACACUUGAGAUCGUUCGAUCUGGUUGUCCUCAAAAAAGUCUAAGCUAAGAUCAUUAGACCCCUUUAUAAGACAUCUAGCGAAUGUGUACGGCAAGAAAGACAAAAAAACAAACAAAACAAAAAAAAAACA